rnacentral:tRNA from 2 species
GACAACGUGGCCGAGUGGUUAAGGCGGAAGACUCGAAAUCUUUUGGGCUUUGCCCGCGCAGGUUCGAAUCCUGCCGUUGUCG